UUAGAAAAUUAUUUAAAAAUACAACCUAUUGAUUGAAAAACUCAGAAACAAUACUCAUCUAUCCACAAAUAUUCUUGUUAUCCUAAUUUCUAAAUCACAAACCCUAAUCUAUAGUAUUUCUCUAAAAAAUGAAAACAUCCAAAAAUAGCAGUUUUUUAGAAAAUUAUUUAAAAAUACAACCUAUUGAUGAAAAACUCAGAACAAAUACUCAUCUAUACACAAAUAUUUUUGUUAUCCUAAUUUUUAAAUUACAAACCCUAAUCUACAUUAUUUCUAAAAAAAUGAAAACUUUCCAAAAAUAGCAGUUUUUAAGAUAUUUAAAAAUACAGCUUAUUGAUGAAAAACUUAGAAAAAAUACUCAUCUAUGCACAAAUAUUCUUGUUAUCCUAAUUUCUAAAUCACAAACCCUAUUCUACAAACCCUAAUCUACAGCAUUUCUCUAAAUCACAAACCCUAUUCUUGAUAUCAUAAAUUUUUAAACCACAAACCCUAAUCUACAGCAUUUCUCUAAAAAUGAAAACUUUUCAAAAAUAGCAACUUUUAAGAAAAUUAUUUAAAAAUACAGCUUAUUGAUGAAAAACUUAGAAAAAAUACUCAUCUAUGCACAAAUAUUCUUGUUAUCCUAAUUUCUAUGAAAACUUUUCAAAAAGAGCAGUUUUUUAGAAAAUUAUUUAAAAAUACAACCUAUUGAUGAAAAACUCAGAAAAAAUACUCAUCUAUCCACAAAUAUUCUUGUUAUCCCAAUUUCUAAAUCACAAACCUUAAUCUACAGUAUAUUUCCAAGGAAUGAAAACUUUUCAAAAAUAGCAACUUUUAAGAAAAUUAUUUUAAAAUACAGCUUAUUGAUGAAAAACUUAGAAUAAAUACUCAUCUAUGCACAAAUAUUCUUGUUAUCCUAAUUUCCAAAUCACAAACCCUAAUCUAGAGUAUUUUUCUAAAAAAUGAAAACUUUUCAAAGAUAGCAGCCUUUGAGAAAAUUAUUUAAAAAUACAACCUAUUGAUGAAAAACUAAGAAAAAAUACUCAUCUAUCCACAAAUAUUCUUGUUAUCAUAAUUUCUAAAUCACAAACCCUAAUCUACAGUAUUUCUAUAAAAAAAUGAAAUCUUUCCAAAUACAGCAGCUUUUAAGAAUACAACCUAUUGAUUGAAAAACUCAGAUAUUCUUGUUAUUUGACAAUACUCAUCUAUCCACAAAUAUUCUUGUUAUCCUAAUUUCCAAAUCACAAACCCUAAUCUAGAGUAUUUCUCUAAAAAAUGAAAACUUUUCAGAAAUAGCAGCUUUUAGGAAAAUUAUUUAAAAAUACAGCUUAUUGAUGAAAAACUUAGAAAAAAUACUCAUCUAUCCACAAAUAUUCUUGUUAUCCUAAUUUCCAAAUCACAAACCCUAAUCUAGAGUAUUUCUCUAAAAAAUGAAAACUUUUCAGAAAUAGCAGCUUUUAGGAAAAUUAUUUAAAAAUACAGCUUAUUGAUGAAAAACUUAGAAAAAAUACUCAUCUAUCCACAAAUAUUCUUGUUAUCCUAAUAUUUAAAUCACAAACUCUAAUCUACAGUAUUUCUCUAAAAAUGAAAACAUUUCAAAAAUAGCAAUUUUUAAGAAAAUUAUUUAAAAAUACAACAUAUUGAUGAAAAACUCAGAAAAAAUACUCAUCUAUCCACAAAUAUUCUUGUUAUCCUAAUUUUUAAAUCACAAACCCUAAUCUAGAGUAUUUCUCUAAAAAAUGAAAACUUUUCAAAAAUAGCAGCUUUUGAGAAAUUAUUUAAAAGUACAACCAAUUGAUGAAAAACUCAGAAAAAAUACUCAUCUAUCCACAAAUAUUCUUGUUAUCCUAAUUUCUAAAUCACAAACCCUAAUCUAUAGUAUUUCUCUAAAAAAUGAAAACUUUCCAAAAAUAGCAGUUUUUUAGAAAAUUAUUUUAAAUACUGUAGAACUGAUGAAAAAUUCUUAAAGUAUACUAAUCUAUCCACAAAUAUUCUUGUUAUCCUAAUUUCUAAAUCACAAACCCUAAUCUAUAGUAUUUCUCUAAAAAAUGAAAACUUUCCAAAAAUAGCAGUUUUUUAGAAAAUUAUUUUAAAUACUGUAGAACUGAUGAAAAAUUCUUAAAGUAUACUAAUCUAUCCACAAAUAUUCUUGUUAUCCUAAUUUCUAAAUCACAAACCCUAAUCUAUAGUAUUUCUCUAAAAAAUGAAAACUUUCCAAAAAUAGCAGUUUUUUAGAAAAUUAUUUUAAAUACUGUAGAACUGAUGAAAAAUUCUUAAAGUAUACUAAUCUAUCCACAAAUAUUCUUGUUAUCCUAAUUUCUAAAUCACAAACCCUAAUCUAUAGUAUUUCUCUAAAAAAUGAAAACUUUCCAAAAAUAGCAGUUUUUUAGAAAAUUAUUUUAAAUACUGUAGAACUGAUGAAAAAUUCUUAAAGUAUACUAAUCUAUCCACAAAUAUUCUUGUUAUCCUAAUUUCUAAAUCACAAACCCUAAUCUAUAGUAUUUCUCUAAAAAAUGAAAACUUUCCAAAAAUAGCAGUUUUUUAGAAAAUUAUUUUAAAUACUGUAGAACUGAUGAAAAAUUCUUAAAGUAUACUAAUCUAUCCACAAAUAUUCUUGUUAUCCUAAUUUCUAAAUCACAAACCCUAAUCUAUAGUAUUUCUCUAAAAAAUGAAAACUUUCCAAAAAUAGCAGUUUUUUAGAAAAUUAUUUUAAAUACUGUAGAACUGAUGAAAAAUUCUUAAAGUAUACUAAUCUAUCCACAAAUAUUCUUGUUAUCCUAAUUUCUAAAUCACAAACCCUAAUCUAUAGUAUUUCUCUAAAAAAUGAAAACUUUCCAAAAAUAGCAGUUUUUUAGAAAAUUAUUUUAAAUACUGUAGAACUGAUGAAAAAUUCUUAAAGUAUACUAAUCUAUCCACAAAUAUUCUUGUUAUCCUAAUUUCUAAAUCACAAACCCUAAUCUAUAGUAUUUCUCUAAAAAAUGAAAACUUUCCAAAAAUAGCAGUUUUUUAGAAAAUUAUUUUAAAUACUGUAGAACUGAUGAAAAAUUCUUAAAGUAUACUAAUCUAUCCACAAAUAUUCUUGUUAUCCUAAUUUCUAAAUCACAAACCCUAAUCUAUAGUAUUUCUCUAAAAAAUGAAAACUUUCCAAAAAUAGCAGUUUUUUAGAAAAUUAUUUUAAAUACUGUAGAACUGAUGAAAAAUUCUUAAAGUAUACUAAUCUAUCCACAAAUAUUCUUGUUAUCCUAAUUUCUAAAUCACAAACCCUAAUCUAUAGUAUUUCUCUAAAAAAUGAAAACUUUCCAAAAAUAGCAGUUUUUUAGAAAAUUAUUUUAAAUACUGUAGAACUGAUGAAAAAUUCUUAAAGUAUACUAAUCUAUCCACAAAUAUUCUUGUUAUCCUAAUUUCUAAAUCACAAACCCUAAUCUAUAGUAUUUCUCUAAAAAAUGAAAACUUUCCAAAAAUAGCAGUUUUUUAGAAAAUUAUUUUAAAUACUGUAGAACUGAUGAAAAAUUCUUAAAGUAUACUAAUCUAUCCACAAAUAUUCUUGUUAUCCUAAUUUCUAAAUCACAAACCCUAAUCUAUAGUAUUUCUCUAAAAAAUGAAAACUUUCCAAAAAUAGCAGUGUUUUAGAAAAUUAUUUAAAAAUACAACCUAUUGAUGAAAAACUCAGAAAAAAUACUCAUCUAUCCACAAAUAUUCUUGUUAUCCUAAUUUCUAAAUCACAAACCCUAAUCUACAGUAUUUUUCUAAAGAAUGAAACUUUUCAAAAAUAGCAACUUUUAAGAAAAUUAUUUAAAAAUACAACCUAUUGAUUGAAAAACUCAGAUAUUCUUGUUAUUUAAUAACAUUCAUCUAUGCACAAAUAUUUUUGGUUAUCCUAAUUUCUAAAUCAAAAACCCUAAUCUACAGUAUUUCUCUAAAAAAUGAAAACUUUCCAAAUAUAGCAGCUUUUAAGAAAAUUAUUUAAAAAUACAACCUAUUGAUGAAAAACUCAGAAAAAAUACUCAUCUAUCCACAAAUAUUCUUGCUAGUUUCAAAAUCACAAAACCUAAUCUACAAUAUUUCUCAAGAAAAUGAAAACUUUCCAAAAAUAGCAGUUUUUAAGAAAAUUAUUUAUAAAUACAACAUAUUCAUGAAAAAUUCUUAAAGAAUACUCAUAUAUCCAAAAAUAUUCUUGUUAUACUAGUUUCAAAAUCACAAAACCUAAUCUACAAUAUUUUUCAAGAAAAUGAAAACUUUCCAAAAAUAGCAGUUUUUAAGAAAAUUAUUUAUAAAUACAACAUAUUCAUGAAAAAUUCUUAAAGAAUACUCAUAUAUCCAAAAAUAUUCUUGUUAUACUAGUUUCAAAAUCACAAAACCUAAUCUACAAUAUUUUUCAAGAAAAUGAAAACUUUCCAAAAAUAGCAGUUUUUAAGAAAAUUAUUUAUAAAUACAACAUAUUCAUGAAAAAUUCUUAAAGAAUACUCAUAUAUCCAAAAAUAUUCUUGUUAUACUAGUUUCAAAAUCACAAAACCUAAUCUACAAUAUUUUUCAAGAAAAUGAAAACUUUCCAAAAAUAGCAGUUUUUAAGAAAAUUAUUUAAAAAUACAACCUAUUGAUGAAAAAAUCAGAAAGAAUACUCAUAUAUCCAAAAAUAUUCUUGUUAUCCUUAUUUCUAAAUCACAAACCCUAAUCUACAGUAUUUCUCUAAAAAAUGAAAACUUUCCAAAUAUAGCAGCUUUUAAGAAAAUUAUUUAAAAAUACAACCUAUUGAUGAAAAACUCACAAAAAAUACUCAUCUAUCCACAAAUAUUCUUGUUAUCCUAAUUUCUAAAUCACAAACCCUAAUUACAGUAUUUCUCUAAAAAAAUAAUAUAGCAGCUUUUAAGAAAAUUAUUUCAAUAUACAACCUAUUGAUUGAAAAAGUCAGAAAAAUACUCAUUUAUCCACAAAUUUUCUUGUUAUCCUAAUUUCUAAAUCACAAACCGUAAUCUACAGUAUUUUUCUAAAAAAUGUAAACUUUCCAAAAAUAGCAGUUUUUAAGAAAAUUAUUUAAAAAUGCAGCUUAUUGAUGAAAAACUUUAAAAAAAAUACUCAUCUAUGCACAAAUAUUCUUGUUAUCCUAAUUUCUAAAUCAAAAACACUAAUCUACAGUAUUUCUCUAAAAAAUGAAAACUUUCCAAAAAUAGCAAAUUUUUAGAAAAUUAUUUAAAAUACUGUAGAAUUGAUGAAAAAUUCUUUAAGUAUACUAAUCUAUCCAAAAAUAUUCUUGUUAUCCUAAUUUCCAAAUCACAAACCCUAAUCUAGAGUAUUUCUCUAAAAAAUGAAAACUUUUCAAAAAUAGCAGCUUUUAUAAUAAUUAUUUAAAAAUACAAACUACUGAUGAAAAACUCAGAAAAAAAUACUCAUCUAUCCACAAAUAUUCUUGUUAUCCUAAUGUUUAAAUCACAAACCCUAAUCUACAGUAUUUCUCUAAAAAAAUGAAAAAUUUCAAAAAAUAGAA
rnacentral:lncRNA from 1 species